UGUUGUAUGUAUUAGAUUUAAAACCAAUGCCCUUCGGGGCUCCUUGGUGAUUCAUAAUAACUUUUCGAAUCGCAUGGCCUUGCGCCGGCGAUGGUUCAUUCAAAUUUCUGCCCUAUCAACUUUCGAUGGCAGGGUCUUGGCCUGCCAUGGUUACAACGGGUAACGGAGGGUUAGGGCUCGACCCCGGAGAAGGAGCCUGAGAAACGGCUACUACAUCCAAGGAAGGCAGCAGGCGCGCAAAUUACCCAAUCCCGAUUCGGGGAGGUAGUGACAAUAAAUACUGAUACAGGGCUCUUUCGGGUCUUGUAAUUGGAAUGAGUACAAUUUAAAUCCCUUAACGAGGAACAAUUGGAGGGCAAGUCUGGUGCCAGCAGCCGCGGUAAUUCCAGCUCCAAUAGCGUAUAUUAAAGUUGUUGCAGUUAAAAAGCUCGUAGUUGAACCUUGGGCCUGGCUGGCCGGUCCGACUCACCGCGUGCACUGUUCGGCCGGGGCCUUUCCCUCUGGGGGAUCCCCCAAUGCCCUUUCACUGGNGUUGUUGGUGGGGGAACCAGGACUUUUA
rnacentral:rRNA from 1 species